rnacentral:rRNA from 1 species
GUCUACGGCCAUACCACCCUGAACGCGCCCGAUCUCGUCUGAUCUCGGAAGCUAAGCAGGGUCAGGCCUGGUUAGUACUUGGAUGGGAGAAAACAAAGGGCUGGAGGGU